AGAACGAACGCUGGCGGCAUGCCUAACACAUGCAAGUCGAACGCUCUUGGGACUUCGGUUUCAAGGGAGUGGCGCACGGGUGAGUAGCGCGUGGGAACCUGCCCUGUUGUGGGGGAUAACCGAGGGAAACUUCGGCUAAUACCGCAUGCGCCCGGGGGCAACUCCGGGGAAAGAUUUAUCGCAGCAGGAGGGGCCCGCGUCGGAUUAGGUAGUUGGUGGGGUAACGGCCUACCAAGCCUUUGAUCCGUAGCUGGUCUGAGAGGAUGAUCAGCCACACUGGGACUGAGACACGGCCCAGACUCCUACGGGAGGCAGCAGUGGGGAAUAUUGGACAAUGGGCGCAAGCCUGAUCCAGCAAUGCCGCGUGAGUGAUGAAGGCCUUAGGGUUGUAAAGCUCUUUCGCCCGCGACGAUGAUGACGGUAGCGGGAGAAGAAGCCCGGCUAACUUCGUGCCAGCAGCCGC
rnacentral:rRNA from 1 species